CAACUUUUAACAACGGAUCUCUUGGUUCUCGCAUCGAUGAAGAACGUAGCAAAGUGCGAUAACUAGUGUGAAUUGCAUAUUCAGUGAAUCAUCGAGUCUUUGAACGCAUCUUGCACCUGUUGGUAUUCCAACAGGUACGCCUGUUUCAGUAUCAAAAA
rnacentral:rRNA from 1 species